AGACUCUUGAGUAGCUGGGAUUACAGGCAUGUGCCACCACACCUGGCUGGGUGGUUUCUACCUUUUGGACUUCUUCUUUGAUGCCUUACUGCCAUAAAAUGAUUCUCCCUCAAAGAAACCUGGGUACACAAGCAUCGAGGUCCUGGCAGGGGGCUCUCAAAGAGAGAUUCCCAGAGCAGCCUGUGAUCUGCAACCUGCAAAGAAGAAAGGAUGAGAAGCUGGUUUAAUACAUUUUCACCACACACUUACCCCCAAAUCAGAGAUGGCGCUUAUCCUCCACCAGGGGUCCACUGUGAGCCAAAUCAAGGGUGUGGGAGUUGUGCAUAAAAGAAGAGCAGGAACAAGAAAGCGUCUGGGGAAGAGGCAGUUAUGGAGGCCAGCAUCGUGUGGGCCCAUAUGAAUUGAGCUCAGGAGCUGGUGGCUGCUGUGUAUUCUCUGACUGCUGAGGGCUGAGAAUAGAAGCAGGUGGUUUGUUGGCGGCUGGGUGGAGGAACUAGAAAUGCAUGGGUCCCGUCUUGCUCAAUAUUUUGUCCCAGAACCCUUGAAAAAUGAACUGUCCUCUCAGCAUGGUGGUCUUGUCUGGCCUGCCACUGGGCAAGCUUCUUGCAGGUGGGACUACCCUGGAUGCUCACCACUUGGUUAAGCCCUGUGCACCCCAGGAUAACAAUCUCCUGUUCCCCUUGCCAUCUGGGUCCACUCUGGCUGCUCUCCAGGAAGACUCUGGCUUGGUCUCCUCACCCCUCUGGCAUGCUCAAGGCUCCUGUCCUUUCUACCCAGCUGGCCUCACCCAGAGGCUACACCUGCAGGCCAGCUGUGCUCCUGUGUUCACAGCUGUGUGUUGCAAAAAGCCCUGGAGCUCCAGGUUACAAGAUGAACUUGGGAUCCCACAGAUGGGAUCUCAACGCAAUCAUCCCACACCCCCCUCCCCAACCACCCCCGUCACUCGGUCCCCUUUUCCCCAGCCCCUUGGCUCAAGGGGACACAGAUCCUAGGUCCUCUCUGUCUGCUUCCUCUCUCCCGUGAACCUCCAGGGACCUCCAGGUCCACUAAAAUCCCUUCCUUGGCUCCUGAUGCCUGGGAUGUAAGAAAGGACGGAGACCUGUGAGUUUAUGUGCAGACUACCUCACAAGUUUCAGGGGCAGGGUGGAGGGGCAAAGAAUAGAAGUCCCUGGCUGGGCCGCUUGGGAACGAAGCCCGCUGCUCGCUGCUCGACGGGACUCGACCUGGGAUUUUCUUG